rnacentral:rRNA from 1 species
AUUGAACGCUGGCGGCAGGCCUAACACAUGCAAGUCGAACGGUAACAGGAAGAAGCUUGCUUCUUUGCUGACGAGUGGCGGACGGGUGAGUAAUGUCUGGGAAACUGCCUGAUGGAGGGGGAUAACUACUGGAAACGGUAGCUAAUACCGCAUAACGUCGCAAGACCAAAGAGGGGGACCUUCGGGCCCCUUGCCAUCGGAUGUGCCCAGAUGGGAUUAGCUAGUAGGUGGGGUAACGGCCCACCUAGGCGACGAUCCCUAGCUGGUCUGAGAGGAUGACCAGCCACACUGGAACUGAGACACGGUCCAGACUCCUACGGGAGGCAGCAGUGGGGAAUAUUGCACAAUGGGCGCAAGCCUGAUGCAGCCAUGCCGCGUGUAUGAAGAAGGCCUUCGGGUUGUAAAGUACUUUCAGCGGGGAGGAAGGGAGUAAAGUUAAUACCUUUGCUCAUUGACGUUACCCGCAGAAGAAGCACCGGCUAACUCCGUG